rnacentral:snRNA from 1 species
AAAAAAAUUGGAGCGAUACAGAGAAGAUUAGCAUGGCCCUUGCGCAAGGAU